rnacentral:lncRNA from 1 species
AUGGUCCCACCGAGCACAGGGGGUCUGGAAGCAGUAGGAGCUUUCUGGAAGGAAGGAGCUCAAAGUGUGUUGUUAAUGGGAAGGGGAAAAAAAAAAGCAAACCAGCUCUUCUAUCUGGAAGAUUGUGAAAUAUUUCCCAACAUUUCACAUACUGAGACCAGAAGUAGGGAGAAGACUCACAAUGGAAGGACCUUUUCUGUCUUUGAAUGUGUAAGUCCUACUUUGUAUUGAGCAUGAUUAUGUCACAGACAUUCAGUCUCUGGUGCCUCA